AGAGUUUGAUCCUGGCUCAGGAUGAACGCUGGCGGUAUGCGUAACACAUGCAAGUCGAACGAAGUUUUUCGGAACUUAGUGGCGGACGGGUGAGUAACGCGUGAGAAUCUGCCUUAAGGAUUGGGACAACAGUGGGAAACCGCUGCUAAUACCAAAUAUGCCUUUUAGUGAAACGGGUAAAACCGCCUUAAGAUGAGCUCGCGUCUGAUUAGCUAGUUGGUGUGGUAAGAGCGCACCAAGGCAACGAUCAGUAGCUGGUCUGAGAGGACGACCAGCCACACUGGGACUGAGACACGGCCCAGACUCCUACGGGAGGCAGCAGUGAGGAAUUUUCCGCAAUGGGCGAAAGCCUGACGGAGCAAUACCGCGUGAGGGAGGAAGGUUCUUGGAUUGUAAACCUCUUUUCUCAGAGAAGAAUAAUGACGGUAUCUGAGGAAUAAGCAUCGGCUAACUCCGUGCCAGCAGCCGCGGUAAUACGGAGGAUGCAAGCGUUAUCCGGAAUGAUUGGGCGUAAAGGGUCUGUAGGUGGUUGUUCAAGUCUGCUGUUAAAGCGUCUGGCUUAACCAGAUAAAGGCGGUGGAAACUGAACGACUAGAGUGCGGUAGGGGUAGAGGGAAUUCCCAGUGUAGCGGUGAAAUGCGUAGAUCUUGGGAAGAACACCUGUGGCGGAAGCGCUCUACUGGACCGCGACUGACACUGAUGGACGAAAGCUAGGGGAGCGAAUGGGAUUAGAUACCCUAGUAGUCC
rnacentral:rRNA from 1 species